rnacentral:rRNA from 1 species
CAUAGCGACUAUCGUGGCAUAUCAAUAAGCGGAGGAAAAGAAACUAACAAGGAUUCCCUUAGUAACGGCGAGUGAAGCGGGAAGAGCUCAAAUUUGAAAUCUUCAAGGUUCUACCUUGACGAAUUGUAGUUUAUAGAAGUGUUUUCUGUUAGUAGAGUGGCAAAAGUUCUUUGGAAUAGGACAUCAUAGAGGGUGAGAAUCCCGUAUUUGGUCAUUCUUUCUAGCUUUGUGAUACACUUUCAACGAGUCGGAUUGUUUGGGAAUGCAGUCCAAAAUGGGUGGUAAAUUUCAUCUAAAGCUAAAUAUUGGCGAGAGACCGAUAGCGAACAAGUACCGUGAGGGAAAGAUGAAAAGAACUUUGAAAAGAGAGUUAAACAGUACGUGAAAUUGCCAAAAGGGAAGCGUUUGACACCAGUGUUGUUUAGUUGAAAAUCAAUUCAAUAAUUUUUGAUCUUAAGUAGUAUUGACUUCAUCAGCUUGCUGCUUUCUUUUCAGGAAUUAUUGAAUGCACUCUUCAGUUAACAAGUCAACAUCAAUUUCUUUUGUUGUAAAAGGGUAAGAGGAAGGUGGCUUACGCUUCGGCGUAAGUGUUUAUAGCCUUGUACCUCUGCAAUCGGAGAGAUUGAGGUCUGCAGCGUAGAUCCUUCGGGGUUAGAUACAUUUGUGCUAAGUUAUAGCUUUUCAUAGACAACUUGUUGACUAUGUUAAGUCUUGUAGCUUACUCGCUUAUGCUAUUUUACCUACGCUUAGGAUGUUGAUAUGCAUGACUGAUAU